AAAGAAAUCAGUGUAGAGAAGAGAAGAGAUUCCAGGACUGAGCCUGGGAUGCUCUAAUGUUAAGAGUUUAGGAAGAUGAGAAGAAGCAAAGGGAACUGAGAAAGAGUAACCAGCAAGGUCAAAAGAGGGGGAGUUUAGUGUCCUGGAAGUCAAUGAAGAAAAGUUUUCAAGGAGAAGGAAGUGAUCUAUGGUUUCAAAUCCCACUGACAGCUGAGUGAGAUGAGCAGCAUUUUGUCAAUGUAAAGAGAUACAGACUCUCUUACUGCCAAUUCACUUUAUUCCCGGGGCCUCGUCUCACCUGUCUCAAAAGUGAACUUCGUAUUUGGUUGUCGGGAUUCAGAAACACAUUCUGGAUAAGGAUGGAGCAUCACAGGACGGCUCGUGUCGGAGGAAGGGAUUUCUCCUGGGUUGUGCUGUUGUUAAUCACUCCAGAUACGUCUGAACGACAACAAACUCCCCAAGGGUUCCUUUCGAAAGCUCACACUUUGUUCUCCAAAGCCAUUGGGCCAAACAGCAACCAACAAACACAAAACAGCCCAUUUAAGAAAUCAAUACAGAGCCAGUCUUGAUGACCUAGUGGUUAAAGUUUGGUGCUCACUGAGUUUGCUGCGGCGGCCCGGGUUCGCUUCCAGGAUGCAGAACCACACCACCCAACUGUCAGGUGCCAUGCUGUGGGGGCGGCUCACACAGAAGAACCAGAAAGACUUACAACCAUGAGUACAACCGCAUAC
rnacentral:lncRNA from 1 species